CUGGGUGUCACGAAUCUUAUCCACAUGAUCAUGAAGCAUGUGUGGGUUUUCCUCUUUCUGGUGGUAACUCCGGGAGGUGUCCUGGCCCAGGUGCAGCUACAAGAGUCAGGCCCUGGACUGGAGAAGCCCUCACAGACCCUGUCUCUCACCUGUGCCAUCUUUGGAUUCUCUUUAACCAGCUACAAUGUCAACUGGAUCUGCCAGGCUCCAGGAAAGGGACUAGAGUGGAUUGGGAUAAUAAUUUAUGAUGGGAAAACAUACUAUAACUCAUCUCUCCAGUCACGAGUCAGCAUCACCAAGGACACCUCCAAGAGCCAAGUUUCUUUAAAACUGAACUCUGUGAAUCCUGAGGACACAGCUGUGUAUUACUGUGCUAGAGACACAGUGAUGGGAAGUCAGUAUCUGCUUGUUAUAAUGACAGCUCAUUCCACGGUACUUUCAACAUUCUUUUCCAAAAGAUGCUCUGCUCUUCAGUUUAAAGUUCCUGAUUUCGCAGUAAAUGGAGGCCCAUCCCAAGAAGAGGAGGAGGGCAUGAGACUUUAUCUUUUCCGUUUCUGA